UAUUUUAUUAUAAUAUGUAACUUAUGGAUUGACUACUAACCCUUAAGUCAGUGAUCAUGCUUGAUUUUGAAUUUAUAUAUAUUUUUUAUCCUAAAAUAAAUCAUACCAUAAUUUAUCCUAUAUUUUAUUGUAUUAAAAUAAAAGCGAAAGAAAUAAAUUAGAGUGGCUUAAAGAUAAGAAAAGAGCGAUACUAACUACCUACGAUGCUCGAACACUCUACUGUCCUGUUGUACUCGCUAAUAUGGUUGAUUUACAAUAGGUGUCCUCACUGGGAUUUAGAGAUUUUAAUUCUCAGUUAAUUUUCUGUAUUACUCGUUUGUUCUUUUUAUCUUUAGAAGCUUUGUUAUAGAAAAUGCAGUUAUUUUCUAUGAAACUAUGCAAUGUAAUUUUAUUGGAGCCUACAAUAAAAUUUUUGUACUUCAUUUCACUUAAUUAAAAAUUUUUAAUAUAAAAAUAUAAAAUAAUAUUUUAUUAGAAAAUACAUUUAUUUCUUAUGAAACUAUGCAAUGUAAUUUUAUUGUAGCCUAAAAUAAAAUUUUUAUACUUCAUUUAAGCCAAUUAAAAUUUUUUAAUAUAAAAAUAUAAAAUAAUAUUUUAUAAUAUUUUAAAACAAUGCUUCUAAAGAUAAAAGGGACAAACGAGUACUGCAGAAAAUUAACUGAGAAUUAAAAUCUCUAUAUCCGAGUGAGGACACCUAUUGUAAAUCAACAAUAUUAGCGAGUACACCAGAACAGUAGAGUGUUCGAGCAUUGUAGGUAGUUUGUAUCGCUCUUUUCUUAUCUUUAAGCCACUCUAAUUAAUUUCUUUCGCUUUUAUUUUAUUACAAUAAAAUAUAGAACAAAUUAUUGUAUGAUUUAUUUUAGGAUAAAAAUAUAUAUAAAUUCAAAAUCAAGCAUGAUCACUAACUUGAGGGUUAGUAGUCAAACCAUAAGUAACAUAUUAUAAUAAAAUAAUUUACAGUCAAGAGUUCUAGGGAUAAAUUGCACUGCUACCUCCUGAACUUUUGGCAAGUUUUACUUAACCCCCAAACUCCUAAAAUAGAUAUUUAACACUCUAAACUCUAAUAUUUCAUUCGUUUUAUUCUUUCCGUCAGUUUUCAAUUAACGGAGCUUGACGAAAAACUGACGGAAGGGGUAACAUGAAUGAAAUAUUAGAGUUUAGGGGGUUAGAUGUCCAUUUUAGGAGUUCAAGGGGUAAAGUGAAAUUUCGCCAAAAGUUCAGGGGGUAACAAUG
rnacentral:lncRNA from 1 species